GAGCUGCUGCACACAGAGGAGACAUGUUCACGAACAAGUUUGGUCCGAAGGAAAACUAAAUAACUUCAGCAAUCUGUGCGAGAGUGAAAGUGGGUCUGGAGCUGUCAGUGUCUCCAGAGGGAGGAAACUACUGAAGUGUCCCCGAGCUGUGAGACAGAAGUUCUCCUCAGCUCAAACUUCAUUGUGUGCUCGCUUCCAAACCACGAGGAUCAUCCAGGCUGGAUUUGUUUGAGGGAUGAUUUCUUCGCUUCUUAUUCUACUGCUUCAUCAUCAUCGUGCUGGUCGAUGCCCUUGUUUCACCUGGACGCUGAUGUGUGGAUGUUGGUGCCAUUUAAAGAGUGCGGCAGAACAUGCACUUCCACUGGAGACUUUAACACCUGCCAGCUCACUGGUCUCAGCCCCCAUGUAUUUACACUGCCAACACUCGCAUUCACGCAACACAAUGCCACAUGUGCCGUACGUAUUUACCAUUUGUAUUUUUCUAGAGCUACAAUAAGACAUACAUUCUCAAACACAUGGAUCAGGUUUGGGACUGAACGGGGCCAGACUGUGUCAGUGUGACAAGCAUAAAAGGCUGACUGAUGCUUGUUUACACAGCUUUGAAUAGGGAGACUGGUUUUCAGCACAAAUGAAGAAUUAAGUAUUGUGUGGGAAUGCUGUCCUUAAAUGAAAUGUAAGAAAUUAAUGUGUGUCAUAACUACAUUGUGCUUUGGCACAAUGAGCCAUUCAGCUCAAAUUGUAUUAUAAAAAUAGCUUUGGACACGACGUAUGUAUGCAAAUGGUGCCUAUUAGAAUUUGGCAGAAUAAAGGAGAGGCCCUGAAAGAGAGAUAAUAGGUUUUUGGAAAGGAAAAUGUGCAUCUAUUUCUGGUAGGAGUCUGGGCUGUGUAUUAAGACUCUCGGCACAAGUGUUUCACCUCCAAGUGUUUCCCUAAGCAGCUUUCCAUCACCCUUUCUCCCUGCCUACUGGUUACUGAUGGCAGAUGCUAUUGAUGGCUCCUUACAGGGAGAAUCACGUUUGACACCGCGACCCUGUCCUCACCAGAUUCUCUUUUUUCUUCUGGGGAGUGGAAAGAAAGUGGAUAAAUAGAUGAAUAAAACAGAGUGGUGCGGGUCCCUCGACAGACAAUGAGAAGGGACUGAGUGGAAUAUCAAUGAAACAUAGUUCACACUAGAUUUGCCCUCAUGAAUAACACAUCUCUGCUAAUAGGAGGGAAAUGGUAUGUCUGUAGAGUUGUGUGACUCUGUCCAUCAUUAGACUGGACAAACUCAAUUUCCUGUGUCUCUCCAAAGACCCUGAUAAGCACCCUGGUGUUUUCGCUGCAGUUAUUACCUGAUUCUAAAUAACGUCUUGGCUCCACACUCAAAGGUGUUUACGGUCAUGUUCAUGCAUAUAGCGGUUAAUAAUGGUAAACUCUGGUGAACUUUUUACGCUGUGGAUCGAAUUAAGGUUUCACUUAAUACUAUAAUAUGUAAAUGCCCAAAGUUUUUCUGUGUUCAAUUUUUUUCAACUACAUUUUAUACACAUAAGUUUAACUUCCAACAAAGUCAGAUAUUGUAAAUCAUGAACUUUUGAUUUGUAUUCGAACCAUGCUUUCUAAAAGUAGAAAAGUAAUCUAAGAUGUUUAGCUAAUAAAAGGAGAUAGAACUGAAGGUCAGAUUGGUGGUCAUUUUGUAUAACUCUAAACAUUGUAUGUUGGGUAGAGGCCGAGUUAGUCUGAAGUGUCUAUGUCAAUAAAGUAAGAAAGCAACUCACGAUGAUCUGUAAUGCAUCACGCAUGGUGCCAGACUUAAUCAGACUAUUUAUUGAAAUAAUUUAAGAUUUAAGAUUAACUAAAAUAUUACUGCAAAAAAUGUGGAAGCUGUUUUUUUUUUUUUUCUAUUUCACGUGCAUCAUAUGUUUACAUCUGAAUUAUGUAUUUGUAUUUGUUUACAUCCCAAAUAUGUUGUUUAAUCUCAAGCAUCUUUUAAUAGACUUGAAAACAAAUUGAGCAA